GACGUAGGUGGCGAACGUUAUCCGGAAUCAUUGGGCGUAAAGGGGCGGUGGAGGGCUUGUUAAGUUAUUAGGGGGAAAUCGAGGCUCAACCUCGUGGAAGCUAGUAAUACUGUUUUGCUUGAGUACAGAAGAGGUUAACGGAACUCCAUGUGGAGCGGUAAAAUGCGUAGAUAUAUGGAAGAACACCAAUAACGGCGAAGGCAGUUAACUAUUCUGUUACUGACAUUGAGGCACGAAAGCGUGGGGAGCAAAACGG
rnacentral:rRNA from 1 species